UUUCGCAAUGCCCGAAAGGGUGACGAAGCGACACCGCGUGGGUGAGGAAGGCCUUCGGGUUGUAAAGCCCUGUCAGGAGUUAAGAAAUGUAAGUGCGCUAAUACCGCAUUUAUUUGACGAAGGCUCCAAAGGAAGUCACGGCUAACUCUGUGCCAGCAGCCGCGGUAAUACAGAGGUGGCAAGCGUUGUUCGGAAUUAUUGGGCGUAAAGAGCACGUAGGUGGGUUUGUAAGUCAGAUGUGAAAGCCUCCUGUUCAACGGGAGAAUUGCAUCUGAAACCACAGAUCUUGAGUGUAGGAGGGGAGAAUGGAACUUCUGGUGGAGCGGUGAAAUGCGUAGAUAUCAGAAGGAACGCCGGCGGCGAAAGCGAUUCUCUGGCCUAUUACUGACACUCAGUGUGCGAAAGCUAGGGUAGCAAACGGGAUUAGAUACCCCGGUAGUCCUAGCCGUAAACGAUGGGCACUAAGUAGAGGGGUUUUA
rnacentral:rRNA from 1 species